GCGCAGCAGGCGAGAAAACUCCGCAAUGCUCGAAAGAGUGACGGGGGGAUUCCAAGUGCCUACGCUUAGCGUAGGCUGUUCAGAUGCCUAAAAAGCAUCUGGAGUAAGGGCUGGGUAAGACGGGUGCCAUCUGCAGUGGUAAUGAAAAACUUGCUACUGCAAGGCAUAAGCCGCCGCGGUAAUACCCGCAGCCCGAGUGGUAGUCGCUUUUAUUGGGCCUAAAGCGUCCGUAGCCGGUCUGGUAAAUGCCUGGGGUAAAUCGUGGGGCCUAACCUCACGAAUUCCGGGUAGACUGCCAGACUUGGGACCGGUUGAGGGAGAGGGUACUCCAGGGGUAGGGGUGAAAUCCUGUAAUCCUUGGAGGACCACCGGUGGCGAAAGCGCUCUCCUAGGACGGGUCCGACGGUGAGGGGACGAAAGCCAGGGGAGCAAACCGGAUUAGAUACCCCCGUUAGU
rnacentral:rRNA from 1 species